GAGAGAGAGGGAGAGGGAGAGAGAUUGAUAGAAAGCAAGCAUUAACACAUAUGAUGCAUGCAUAAUGACCUCAAUUUGGGUAAUAGCAGUACUUGGAAGGCAUACAAGACAGCAUCAGAACAGCAGCCAAAUAACAAUAAGUUCAGUCCAACCAAAAGAUCGAAACUGUCCAACCAACAUGCUACAUUCUUCUAAUCCACAAAUGUAACUAAUCUGCCAAAGGAAGAACACUGAGGAGCACCAAAGCUAAACGCAAAGGUUUUACAAUUAAUACAUGGUCAACAAAUCACUUCAAAUAGUCCUUUAUUAAACACACUAGUAGUCUUUAUGUUUAUUAACUAGACAAGAAAAAGGCUAGCCAGUACUUUUGUGUCAACCAUUUCGUGAAUUGUUCUCCAACUUGGAGGUCUUUUACACCAUUCUACUAAUUUCAUUUUCCAAAAAAUGAAGCUCAAAGCCUAUAGGUCCUUUCCUAGGGUGUUCACUAUUUAGGUCCAACUAAAAUAACCAAGCCAAACGGACCCAAUUGGGAGUUUUUACUUCAUUUGGUUCGUUUUUUAAGUAUUAAAAAAAUAAAAAAAUAAUA
rnacentral:misc_RNA from 1 species